AUGAACGCUGGCGGCGUGCCUAACACAUGCAAGUCGAACGGAGUCGUUUUGGACAUCUCUUCGGAGAUGGAAUUCUCGACUUAGUGGCGGACGGGUGAGUAACGCGUGAGCAAUCUGCCUUUAAGAGGGGGAUAACAGUCGGAAACGGCUGCUAAUACCGCAUAAAGCAUUAAAUUCGCAUGUUUUUGAUGCCAAAGGAGCAAUCCGCUUUUAGAUGAGCUCGCGUCUGAUUAGCUAGUUGGCGGGGUAACGGCCCACCAAGGCGACGAUCAGUAGCCGGACUGAGAGGUUGAACGGCCACAUUGGGACUGAGACACGGCCCAGACUCCUACGGGAGGCAGCAGUGGGGAAUAUUGCGCAAUGGGGGAAACCCUGACGCAGCAACGCCGCGUGAUUGAAGAAGGCCUUCGGGUUGUAAAGAUCUUUAAUCAGGGACGAAACAAAUGACGGUACCUGAAGAAUAAGCUCCGGCUAACUACGUG
rnacentral:rRNA from 1 species